rnacentral:rRNA from 1 species
AGCAGCCGCGGUAAUUCCAGCUCCAAUAGCGUAUAUUAAAGUUGUUGCAGUUAAAAAGCUCGUAGUUGAAUUUCGGGAUUGGCGCAUCGGUCGUGCCUCACGGGGUAUGAACUGGUGCAGUCAAUUUCUCACCUUCUGGAGAACCGCGAUGUCCUUAAUUGGAUGCCGCGGGGAACCAGGACCUUUACUUUGAAAAAUUAGAGUGUUUAAAGCAGGCAUUUUUGCUUGAAUACAUUAGCAUGGAAUAAUAAAAUAGGACGGCAUGGUUCUAUUUUGUUGGUUUCUAGGACCACCGUAAUGAUUAAUAGGGAUAGUUGGGGGCAUUAGUAUUCAAUUGUCAGAGGUGAAAUUCUUGGAUUUAUUGAAGACUAACUACUGCGAAAGCAUUUGCCAAGGAUGUUUUCAUUAAUCAAGAACGAAAGUUAGGGGAUCGAAGACGAUCAGAUACCGUCGUAGUCUUAACCAUAAACUAUGCCGACUAGGAAUCAGACGAUGUUAAUUUUUAAUGUACUCGUU